ACAGAGAAAGAAAAGGACCCUCCUCACUUCAUUGUCAAGCUGUUUGAGAACAAAGGAAGAGGGAUAGUGGCACAAAGAGACAUCUCAAAAGGGGAGUUUUUGUUGGAGUACCCAGGCCAACUUAUAUCUGCCCAAGAAGGCAACCAACGUGAGGAGGAGGAAUCAUCUGGUUUUCGUUUUUUUUUUAAGCAUCAAGGACAAAGCUACUGCAUUUCAGAGGACAAGUUCAAAGGGAAGAAGAAGAAGGAGAGACACAAGUCCACCAACAGGAAAGAGGGACUCUAGGACAACAACAAGAAGGAGAGAUGCAGGU